rnacentral:rRNA from 1 species
CUUGCUAAGUUUGAUGGCGACCGGCGCACGGGUGAGUAACACGUAUCCAACCUGCCGAUGACUCGGGGAUAGCCUUUCGAAAGAAAGAUUAAUACCCGAUGGCAUAGUUCUUCCGCAUGGUGGAACUAUUAAAGAAUUUCGGUCACCGAUGGGGAUGCGUUCCAUUAGGUUGUUGGCGGGGUAACGGCCCACCAAGCCUUCGAUGGAUAGGGGUUCUGAGAGGAAGGUCCCCCACAUUGGAACUGAGACACGGUCCAAACUCCUACGGGAGGCAGCAUG